rnacentral:tRNA from 1 species
GAGCAUUUAAUCUAAUAAAGAUAAUUGAUUUCGACUCAAUUAAUUUCAGUAAACCUGGAAAUACUCU